UCGGGAAUUUUGGGCAAUGGGCGAAAGCCUGACCCAGCAACGCCGCGUGAGGGAUGAAGUAUUUCGGUAUGUAAACCUCGAAAGAAUGGGAAGAAUAAAUGACGGUACCAUUUAUAAGCUCCGGCUAACUACGUGCCAGCAGCCGCGGUAAUACGUAGGGAGCAAGCGUUGUUCGGAUUUACUGGGCGUAAAGGGCGCGUAGGCGGCGCGGUAAGUCACUUGUGAAAUCUCUGAGCUUAACUCAGAACGGCCAAGUGAUACUGCUGUGCUAGAGUGCGGAAGAGGCAACCGGAAUUCUUGGUGUAGCGGUGAAAUGCGUAGAUAUCAAGAGGAACACCUGAGGCGAGGGCGGGUUGCUAGGCCGACACUGACGCUGGUGCGCGAAAGCCAGGGGAGCAAAC
rnacentral:rRNA from 1 species